rnacentral:rRNA from 1 species
GUAGAUAGCCAUACCACCCUGAACCUUCCUGAUCUCUAGAAACUAAGCAGGGUUGGACCUGUUUAGUACUUGGAUAGGAGGUCUCCUGGGAAUAUUGGGUGCUGUUGGCU